AGAAAUCCCGAGCUUGCUUGGGAGAGUAAAGUGGCGCACGGGUGAGUAACGCGUGGGUAACCCACCUUCGAAUCCGGGAUAACUCCGCGAAAGCGGUGCUAAUACCGGAUAAGACCACAUUCCGUUCGCGGAAAGAGGUAAAAGCUGACCUCUCCAUGGAAGUUAGCGUUCGAGGACGGGCCCGCGUCCUAUCAGCUUGUUGGUGGGGUAAUGGCCUACCAAGGCUGCGACGGGUAGCUGGUCUGAGAGGAUGAUCAGCCACACUGGAACUGGAACACGGUCCAGACUCCUACGGGAGGCAGCAGUGAGGAAUUUUGCGCAAUGGGGGAAACCCUGACGCAGCAACGCCGCGUGGGUGAAGAAGGCUUUCGAGUCGUAAAGCCCUGUCAGGUGGGAAGAAACUCUUCAGCACUAAUAAUGCUGAAGCCUGACGGUACCACCAGAGGAAGCACCGGCCAACUCCGUG
rnacentral:rRNA from 1 species